rnacentral:rRNA from 1 species
UACGUAGGGUGCGAGCGUUGUCCGGAUUUAUUGGGCGUAAAGAGCUCGUAGGCGGUUUGUCGCGUCGGCCGUGAAAUCUCCACGCUUAACGUGGAGCGUGCGGUCGAUACGGGCAGACUUGGAGUUCGGUAGGGGAGACUGGAAUUCCUGGUGUAGCGGUGAAAUGACGCAGAUAUCAGGAGGAACACCGGUGGCGAAGGCGGGUCUCUGGGCCGAUACUGACGCUGGAGGAGCGAAAGCGUGGGGAGCGAACAGG